GAGACUUGAGUCGUGAGAGAUACGCCAAGCGAAAGGACGAGACCUUGCCGGUCUCAACAGUGUUGCGCUCGUCUGUGUUGCUGCCCCUGCCCCUACCGUUGGUCAAAAAGGUAAUCCGUCGUCGUCGUCUAGUCGAUUCGCAUCCGCGUUGCUCGAAUGCCGCUUAAGUUUCCGGAAGAUCUCGUCGAGUGAUUCCGUAGCGGAUUCGUUCGUCCCGGCCCUAGGAGACAGGCCCAAUAGGAGGAACUUCCUGGAGCCGCCCAUGGUCGCUCUGAGGUUCUGGAAACCCGUCUUCAUUGAGGCCCACCUUGAGGCCGUCUCAGCUGGUGAAUCUGCCGCCGCACUCACACAAGGCGGCUCAUUGGAUUUGGAGGUCGAUGAGAUCCCCUUCUGAACCUCCACUGGUUUCGGACUGCUGCACUGUUCCCUCGCCGGAGAAUAUCUCUGACUCUGAGCGACAUCGCCACCGUGUUUCGGCUGGGCGGCGGUUCGUUCCGGCUCCGUCUCCACUGUACCGUCACCCUGUGCAAAAAACAAGUUAAAGAUUAGCUGAGAGUGGAACCUCCAAAUGGACUAGAAGAAGGACUAUGACGCAGCCAGACUAAUUCGCACCUGUGAAGAAAGCAAAUAACAUCAGACAGACGAUACACAGAUAGAGCAAGCCGGCGCUGGAGCAAAAUGACUUCUAUAACCAAGCUAAGCAGGGUUUCUAAUAAAACCACCAGCAACAAGCUUCACGUUACCGAAACCACUAGCAGGGUUUGAUUAUUUUUUUCUCUCAAAACCAAGCAGGGUUUGGAAUGGUCUGUGUAAGCAUGAUAAGUUGAUAGGAAAUGCUGCGACGGAGAUUCAGACACAAGCGCUGCAAAUCUGCAACCAGAAGGACGAUUAACAGAACACGAGCCUUUGUGGUCGGUCACUGGCAUACCAUGCUAGGAUAAACGUGCUCCAAUACGACCAGCU